rnacentral:rRNA from 1 species
CGCGUAGGCGGGUUAUUAAGUGAGAGGUGAAAUUCCGGGGCUCAACCCAGGAACCGCCUCUCAUACUGAUAGUCUUGAGUGAGGUAGAGAGAAGUGGAAUGGCUGGUGUAGCGGUGAAAUGCGUAGAUAUCAGUCGGAACACCGGUGGCGAAGGCGGCUUCUUGGGCCUUUACUGACGCUGAUGCGCGAAAGCCAGGGUAGCGAACG